GACGAACGCUGGCGGCGUGCCUAAUACAUGCAAGUCGAACGCAGUGGGUACGGGUGAGUAACACGUGGGUAACCUCCCAUCAGAGGGGAUAACACUUGGAAACAGGUGCUAAACCGAUACUGAUGGAUGAACCCGCGGUGCAUUAGCUAGUUGGGUAGGUAACGGCUCACCAAGGCCACGAUGCAUAGGCGACGCGAGAGGGUGGUCGGCCACACGGGGACUGAGACACGGGCCAGACUCCUACGGGAGGGAGGAGUAGGGAAUCUUCGGCAAUGGACGAAAGGCUGAACGAGCAACGCCGCGUGAGUGAAGAAGGUUUUCGGAUCGUAAAACUAUGUUGUUAGAGAAGCGGUAACUAACCAGAAAGGGACGGCUAACUACGUGCCAGCAGCCGCGGUAAUAC
rnacentral:rRNA from 1 species